UACGUAGGGUGCGAGCGUUAAUCGGAAUUACUGGGCGUAAAGCGUGCGCAGGCGGCGGCUCAAGUCAGGUGUGAAAUCCCCCGGGCUUAACCUGGGAAUUGCGUCUGAAACUGGUUGUCUAGAGUAUGGUAGAGGAUAGUGGAAUUUCCGGUGUAGCGGUGAAAUGCGUAGAUAUCGGAAGGAACACCAACGGCGAAGGCAGCUCGCUGGGACGGUACUGACGCUGAGGCGCGAAAGCGUGGGGAGCAAACAGG
rnacentral:rRNA from 1 species